CAUUCCUUCUCACUGUGGCUUCUUUGUAGCUGCUUGAGUUCAUGUGGGCUCUGCAAGACUUUCGUUUCCCCUUCCAUUCUUAGCCCAGCUGUGCUGCCUUUGUGAUCCUCGCUGGCUCUAAAUGGGGCGCUCCGAUCUCUCCUGACAGCAGGCCUCAGCGCUUCCGGGACUGCCACACCUGAAAUCAGAUCAUAUGUAUGGAGAGACGCUGAGACAGAGGGAAAGAUCUUCCAUCUGAUGGUUCACUCCCCAAAUGACUACAACGGCU